AAGCAUUGGAAGCAUCGCCCCUGCGUGUGCCCUUGGGUAAGGAGCAAGCUGAGGAGCUCCUGCAGCAAAAUGUGAAGGCCUUGAGGAAGGUAUGUGGGGGUUCUUAACAUGCUGGAGACACCGAGGAGCCAAAAACCCCCAAUCAAACCCAGAGGCAAUAGCUGGACAAAGGCAAUUCCAGAUUGAUGCCAUCUGAGAUGUAACCUUGGACCAGAGAGCACCCGAAGCCUCUUCAAGUCACUUGGUGAUGGUUUCCUCUUCCUCAGCACGCGCUGGUGGCGUGUCCUCGCGACAGGCUGGGUGCUGCUCCGAUGGAACACGGUGAUGCUGUCCCACGGUGAAAGGUUGGGAUGAGGGUGAGGAGAGGGCAGGAUCGGAGGCUAAAAGAGAAACCCCAACCCCCAGACUGCGAAACGAGAGAGAAGAAAUGGAGUUAAAGGAGACCUGGAUUCCUCCGGAGGCUUCGCUGGCGACGGGAGGUGGAUGCAGCCAUGAGGAUGAGGAGGGAUGCUGGACAGAAGUCGUUCUGCUGCGAGGAGGACAAAGCAUUAGCUUCAGUGCUCACAAAGAACAUCACCUAAGACAGCGCUUUUACACCUUUACAUCCUGGAGCAAUAACUUACUGUGAACCGCAGUAAACAAAA